AUUGAACGCUGGCGGCAGGCCUAACACAUGCAAGUCGAGCGGAUGAGAAGAGCUUGCUCUUCGAUUCAGCGGCGGACGGGUGAGUAAUGCCUAGGAAUCUGCCUGGUAGUGGGGGCCACCGUUCCGCAAGGAACGCUACUACCGCACACGCCCUACGGGAGAAAGCAGGGGACCUUCGGGCCUCGCGCUAUCAGAUGAGCCUAGGUCGGAUUAGCUAGUUGGUGGGGUAAUGGCUCACCAAGGCGACGAUCCGUAACUGGUCUGAGAGGAUGAUCAGUCACACUGGAACUGAGACACGGUCCAGACUCCUACGGGAGGCAGCAGUGGGGAAUAUUGGACAAUGGGCGAAAGCCUGAUCCAGCCAUGCCGCGUGUGUGAAGAAGGUCUUCGGAUUGUAAAGCACUUUAAGUUGGGAGGAAGGGCAGUAAGUUAAUACCUUGCUGUUUUGACGUUACCGACAGAAUAAGCACCGGCUAACUCUGUGCCAGCAGCCGCCGUAAAAC
rnacentral:rRNA from 1 species